rnacentral:rRNA from 1 species
ACAGAGGUCUCAAGCGUUGUUCGGAUUCAUUGGGCGUAAAGGGUGCGUAGGUGGCAAGGUAAGUCGGGUGUGAAAUCCCGGGGCUCAACCCUGGAACUGCACUCGAUACUGCCAUGCUCGAGUACUGGAGAGGAGACUGGAAUUUACGGUGUAGCAGUGAAAUGCGUAGAUAUCAAGAGGAACACCUGUGGCGAAGGCGAGUCCCUGGACGAUACCUGACACUGAGGCACGAAAGCUAGGGGAGCAAACAGGA